GAACCUUACCAAGUCUUGACAUCUGCCUGACCGCACCUUAACCGGUGCUUUCCUUCGGGACAGGCAAGACAGGUGGUGCAUGGUUGUCGUCAGCUCGUGUCGUGAGAUGUUGGGUUAAGUCCCGCAACGAGCGCAACCCCUAUCCUUAGUAGCCAGCAGUAAGAUGGGGACUCUAGGGAGACUGCCGGGGACAACCCGGAGGAAGGCGGGGACGACGUCAAAUCAUCAUGCCCCUUAUGAUUUGGGCUACACACGUGCUACAAUGGCGUAAACAGAGGGAAGCAGGCCAGCGAUGGUGAGCGAAUCCCAAAAAUAACGUCCCAGUUCGGACUGCAGUCUGCAACUCGACUGCACGAAGCUGGAAUCGCUAGUAAUCGCAGAUCAGAAUGCUGCGGUGAAUACGUUCCCGGGUCUUGUACACACC
rnacentral:rRNA from 1 species